AACUUUUGACAACGGAUCACUUGACUCUCACAUCGAUGAAGAACGCAGCGAAAUGCGAUAAGUAAUGUGAAUUGCAGAAUUCAGUGAAUCAUCGAAUCUUUGAACGCACCUUGCGCCCCUUGGCCAUCCCGAGGGGCAUGCCAGUUUGAGUAUCAUGAACACCUCAACUCUCAUGGCUUGCCAUGAUGAGCUUGGACUUGGGGGGUUUUGUUGGCCCCUGUGGUCAGCUCCUCUUAAAUGAAUCAGCUUGCUAGUGUUUGGCGGCAUUGUGGGUGUGAUAACUAUCUACGCCCAUGGUUGUUUGCCAGGUAACCUUCAGCAGUGGAGGUUCGCUGGGGCUUAUAAAUGUCUCUCCUCAGCAUGAGACAGCAUUUUGAACGUUCGAUCUCAGAUCAGGUAGGACUACCCGCUGAACUUAAGCAUAUCAAUAAGCGGAGGCU
rnacentral:misc_RNA from 1 species